rnacentral:rRNA from 1 species
UACGUAGGUGGCAAGCGUUGUCCGGAUUUACUGGGCGUAAAGGAUGCGUAGGCGGACAUUUAAGUCAGAUGUGAAAUACCCGAGCUUAACUUGGGUGCUGCAUUGAAACUGGGUGUCUAGAGUGCAGGAGAGGUAAGUGGAAUUCCUAGUGUAGCGGUGAAAUGCGUAGAGAUUAGGAAGAACACCAGUGGCGAAGGCGGACUUCUGGUCGUGUAACUGACGGCUGAGGCGCGAAAAGCGUGGGGAGCAAACAGG